UACGUAGGGUGCAAGCGUUAAUCGGAAUUACUGGGCGUAAAGCGUGCGCAGGCGGUUUUGUAAGUCUGUCGUGAAAUCCCCGGGCUCAACCUGGGAAUUGCGAUGGAGACUGCAAGGCUUGAAUCUGGCAGAGGGGGGUAGAAUUCCACGUGUAGCAGUGAAAUGCGUAGAUAUGUGGAGGAAUACCGAUGGCGAAGGCAGCCCCCUGGGUCAAGAUUGACGCUCAUGCACGAAAGCGUGGGGAGCAAACAGG
rnacentral:rRNA from 1 species